rnacentral:lncRNA from 10 species
AUUUUGGCCAAGUUGAGAAGCCUGUAUGGGAGUUCUCCAAGGAGGAAAAGAUGCUUUGUUUUGUAGACAAAAACCUUCGUUCUGUGGAGUGUUUGGAGAAAAGUGAGGUACUGGUUGCUAAUGUGUGUGAUCCUGGGUGAGUUUGUGUGCAUGGCCCCAGCCAGGCCAAGCCCUCCCCAGGUUCCAGUGACAGACCUGGGCCACUAAGGACCCUUAAUUCCACCCUGAGCUCCUAGAAAACCACCCACUAUUGGGCAGCCAGGAAUGACCUUUGGAGAACAAACACUUCACCCUCCAGGUACCAUCCACUUGUCCAC